AAGAUAUAGCAAUAUUCUUCUGAAUAUACUUUUAUUAACCCAUUCCGAGUACCUUAACCCGUUUGCCUUCCGCGAGGCUGUCCUCACGGCCCCUCUGAAGAUUUAUCUUUUGGGGAGUCCUUGCGGAAGGUAUACAAUUAAAAACUCCUUGCAUUAACCAUGUCUCAUCUGUCCUGAAUCUGUUUAAAAAAACAAAUAUUA
rnacentral:misc_RNA from 1 species